rnacentral:ncRNA from 1 species
CUGGUUAAUCUUGCUAGUAGUCAUAUGCUUGUCUCAAAGAUUAAGCCAUGCAUGUGUAAGUAAGAACUAAUUCAGACUGUGAAACUGUGAAUGGCUCAUUAAAUCAGUUAUAGUUUGUUUGGUGGUAUUUGCUACUCGGAUAAUCGUAGUAAUUCUAGACUUAUACGUGCAACCAACCCCGACUUCUAGAAGGGAUGCAUUUAUUAGAUAAAAGGUCGAUGCGGGCUCUGCCCGUUGCUUCGAUGAUUCAUGAUAACUCAAUGGAUCACACGGCCAUCGUGUCGGUGACGCAUUAUUCAAAUUUCUUCCCUAUCAACUUUCGAUGGUAGGAUAGUGGCCUACAAUGGUGGUGAUGGGUGUCAGAGAAUUAGGGUUCGAUUCUGGAGAGGGAGCCUGAGAAACGGCUACCACAUUGAAGGAAGAUGGCACGCACGCAAAUUACCCAAUCCUGACACGGGGAGCUAGUGACAAUAAAUAACAAUACCAAGUUCUAGACAAAUCUUUAAAGACAGGGAUUUGAACCUUAAGCGGAGAUG